AUUUGGGGAAGUCACAGGGGUCAGCACAUCCAAAGUGCAAUAGAUAAACCUCACCCUGGGAAAACCACCUUCGCGAUCAGGUAUCUCUCCUGCCAGAAGAGGAAGCUAUUAUUCUUUCAUUAAAUAAAGCAACUGAAGCCCUCAGAGGACAAAAAUGCUUGUGGCCAAUUACACUCUUUUCACCAACUCAUUUAAAAAAUUUUUCACUCAUUAAAAAAAAAAAAAAAAAAAAAGACUGGUUCAUCUUCCCUCUCU